rnacentral:lncRNA from 1 species
UGGAUUUACUUAACUUAAACAUGUUGUUAAGGAAACAAAUAGCAUAGAGCUCCUAUGGAAUUGUAACAGAGGCUUACAUGGAGAUAUGACUGAGGCUGGCACCGUACUUUUAUGGGAGUUUUGAAAUGGCUGAAGGGGUAAAGUUGUAAAAACAAAUAGCAAACAACUCCUUCCACCUGUGCCCAAAUUUCCAUGUGAGCAGAAGCACCACGAACUGCAGUGUUGUCUGUUUUUAGGUGGUAUUUAUUUGCCUGUUUUAUUGUUGUUUUUUUUUCCCAUAGUUUCCCAGUUUUUCCCAAAGUUUAAUUUGGAUGUUGGUCUGCUUUAUGAGAGUAAGUUGGGCCUGUAGCUGCUACGCUGCUUCACAGGAAAAAUAUCUAUGUAUUAUGAAAAGUGGCCGUCUUAAAUUUAUUUUCUGCAUAUUUCUGAGUAACAGUGUCUUCUUGGCAGAUAAUCUGCAGCCAACAGAUAUAGCUACUAAAUGGUCAUGGAAAUAUGAUUUGAAUUGCUCUCCAUACUGCUGAGUGCACAGGUAAUUCUGUCCUAGCUAACUCGAGAUGAUUACUGUGGUGUAUUGUUGGACACACUGGAGGAAUGCAAAGCGAAAAUUACAGCUGCUGGGCACAGAUCUGCAGCUUUCAAGAUUGCACUAACCAUCCAAGUCCUUCAUCUUCUCAGAACCAGAGAAAUCUUGUCUAUGUUCUCCAGCACAGGUAAAUAACCUUGAAAAUACUGUGGCAGUGGGUCACGUUAAACCAGUGCUAGGCCUUGUUGCUUUUUUGCUCUUCUGCUGUUCUAUAUUGUCAGAGGCAGCAGGAAAUUAACUGUAAUGACAACGUACUAGGGAAAAGUCGUGGCGAAGUUUGCCUAGUUUCAGUACUAGCUCUGAUUUUCCAACAAACUUAAAUCUGAAAUUCACUGGUUAGGCAAAGCCAACCAUCCUACUGACAAUGCUUCCUAAAGCAUAGACAAGCCAAAGCUGUGAGUUUUACACAGCUCUAGGUCUGGCU